GAGGGAGCCUGGCCUUGCAGAUACCUUGAUUCCUGACUUCUGGCCUCUAAAAUUAUCCAGGAUCCUUCUACUGUGUUUCUCCUCCAUUGCGAAGUCCUUCACUUCCAGCACCUGAGACAUUUUUUGGGUAUAUCUACAAGUGGCAUAUAUCACUUCUGCCCACAUUCACCUGGGUAGAACUCAAUCACAUUGUUUCACCUAACUGCAAGUGAGGCUGUGGAAUAUAGUCUCCCUAUGUGCCCAAGCAGAAGAAACAGGAUUGUGUGACUCUACAAUGUGUGAUUGCUCCUGGUGAAUCAAAAGGAUAAAGCUGCUGAUUCUGCAAUUUGAUAACCCAACCAUGCUGACCUCAAAGUGUAGUCAAUCCAUGAAGUUCCUCCCACCACAGCUCAUCCUGAACACUGCCCACCUGAGUCAUCAAGAAAGAUUUCACCUGAUUCUUGGCCACAAAGUUUCAAGGGAACCAGAGCUAAUGAAGACAGCAUGGAAGGGCACCGCCGAGACCUACCUGUGGGAGUCCACCUCACCC
rnacentral:lncRNA from 10 species